rnacentral:rRNA from 1 species
AUUGAACGCUGGCGGCAGGCCUAACACAUGCAAGUCGAGCGGAUCGGCGGACGCGUGCGUAAUGCCUAUGUAUCUGCCUCUUCGUGGGGGAUAACGUCCGAUACUGGGCGCUAUUACCGCUUCCUCUCAGAUGCGCCUAGGUCGGAUUGGCUAGUUGGUGGGGUAAAGGCCUACCAAGGCGACGAUCCGUAUCCGGUCUGAGAGGAUGAUCAGUCACACUGGAACUGAGACACGGUCCAGACUCCUACGGGAGGCAGCAGUGGGGAAUAUUGGACAAUGGGCGAAAGCCUGAUCCAGCCAUGCCGCGUGUGUGAAGAAGGUCUUCGGAUUGUAAAGCACUUUAAGUUGGGAGGCGUUACCAACAGAAUAAGCACCGGCUAACUUCGUGCCAGCAGCCGCGGUAAUUC